rnacentral:rRNA from 1 species
UACGGAGGAUCCAAGCGUUAUCCGGAUUUAUUGGGUUCAAAGGGUGCGUAGGCGGCCUAUUAAGUCAGGGGUGAAAGACGGUAGCUUAACUAUCGCAGUGCCUUUGAUACUGAUGGGCUUGAAUACACUAGAGGUAGGCGGAAUGUGACAAGUAGCGGUGAAAUGCAUAGAUAUGUCACAGAACACCAAUUGCGAAGGCAGCUUACUAUGGUGUGAUUGACGCUGAGGCACGAAAGCAUGGGGAGCGAACAGG